UUGAGCUGCUAUAAACAAUCUUAUUUAUACCUAGAAUAUGGCUGGGCGUUUCUACCUCGUACCGUAAAUGCGAGACAAUAAGGAAAUUCGAUUUUUCA
rnacentral:ncRNA from 2 species